AUGGAAUUAGAGGAUUUUACCACUACUUGCAAACUUCCACAAUGGGGUAGUGCUAGUGAACCCCACAAAUUUGAAUUUAGAAAUUUUCUUGCUAGCAUAACUAUGGGGGAAUCUAGAGAUAUAACACAAGCUACCAUAGGGAGCAUUCACUUUCCUGCUAUACAUUAUUUUGCUCUCUUCAUAGGUAUGUGCAUAAAUGGUAAAGAUGAAGCAUGCCACAUGUGUGUCCCCGACCUCAGUAUUCUGAGGAGUGCUGUGUUGGGAGAUAAAUCUUAUAAUUUGGGAGCCAUUGUUGCACGUAGGUUGCAUCUGAAUAGAUUUAAUGGAGAUUUCUUCGGUGGAAUUUAUGCAACUCGCUUAGCUGAUUAUGUGAGGAUGAUAUUGAAUUGCCUCCUGCUUAUCUAG
rnacentral:rRNA from 1 species